GUCGAACGGUGAAGCCAAGCUUGCUUGGUGGAUCAGUGGCGAACGGGUGAGUAACACGUGAGCAACCUGCCCUGGACUCUGGGAUAAGCGCUGGAAACGGUGUCUAAUACUGGAUAUGAGCUCUCAUCGCAUGGUGGGGGUUGGAAAGAUUUUUCGGUCUGGGAUGGGCUCGCGGCCUAUCAGCUUGUUGGUGAGGUAAUGGCUCACCAAGGCGUCGACGGGUAGCCGGCCUGAGAGGGUGACCGGCCACACUGGGACUGAGACACGGCCCAGACUCCUACGGGAGGCAGCAGUGGGGAAUAUUGCACAAUGGGCGGAAGCCUGAUGCAGCAACGCCGCGUGAGGGAUGACGGCCUUCGGGUUGUAAACCUCUUUUAGCAGGGAAGAAGCGAGAGUGACGGUACCUGCAGAAAAAGCGCCGGCUAACUACGUGCCAGCAGCCGCGGUAAUACGUAGGGCGCAAGCGUUAUCCGGAAUUAUUGGGCGUAAAGAGCUCGUAGGCGGUUUGUCGCGUCUGCUGUGAAAUCCCGAGGCUCAACCUCGGGCCUGCAGUGGGUACGGGCAGACUAGAGUGCGGUAGGGGAGAUUGGAAUUCCUGGUGUAGCGGUGGAAUGCGCAGAUAUCAGGAGGAACACCGAUGGCGAAGGCAGAUCUCUGGGCCGUAACUGACGCUGAGGAGCGAAAGGGUGGGGAGCAAACAGGCUUAGAUACCCUGGUAGUCCACCCCGUAAACGUUGGGAACUAGUUGU
rnacentral:rRNA from 1 species